rnacentral:ribozyme from 1 species
GGAAGGAAUACGAAUGAUCGGGACCUGCGUAAGAGAAAAAGAGUGUUGGGGCGUGUCAAGAGGGAUCGAAGAGGCGAAUGGAUUGUUUGUUUGUUGGUUUUUUCUUUCUUUCUUUCGUUUUUUAGUUUUGC